UACGAACCGUGCAACCGUUGUUCGGAAUCACUGGGCUUAAAGGGCGCGUAGGCGGAUUUUCAAGUCGGUGGUGAAAUCGUUCGGCUCAACCGGACAAGUGCCGCCGAUACUGAAAGUCUCGAGGGAGGUAGGGGUCGAGGGAACUGGUGGUGGAGCGGUGAAAUGCGUAGAUAUCACUAGGAACGCCGGUGGCGAAAGCGCUCGACUGGACCUCUUCUGACGCUCAGGCGCGAAAGCCAGGGGAGCAAACGGG
rnacentral:rRNA from 1 species